UACAGAGGUCUCAAGCGUUGUUCGGAUUCAUUGGGCGUAAAGGGUGCGUAGGCGGCGCGGUAAGUCGGGUGUGAAAUCUUGGAGCUUAACUCCGAAACUGCAUUCGAUACUGCCGUGCUUGAGGACUGGAGAGGAGACUGGAAUUUACGGUGUAGCGGUGAAAUGCGUAGAUAUCUGGAGGAACACCGGCGGCGAAGGCGGCAUCCUGGACCGGCAUUGACGCUGAGGCGCGAAAGCCAGGGGAGCAAACGGG
rnacentral:rRNA from 1 species